rnacentral:rRNA from 1 species
UUCCUAUAUACCACAUUCGGAGGAAAAGAAAAUAACUAUGAUUCCCUUAGUAACGGCGAGUGAACAGGGAGAAGCCCAAAUUUGUAAUCUGGCACUUUUCUAAGUGUCCGAGUUGUAAUUUGUAGAACUGUUAUCCGUGCUGGACCAUGUACAAGUCUGUUGGAAAGCAGCAUCAUUGAAGGUGAAAAUCCUGUAGAUGAUAUGGACUACCAGUACUUUUGUGAUAUGGUUUCUAAGAGUCGAGUUGUUUGGGAAUGCAGCUCAAAGUGGGUGGUAAAUUCCAUCUAAGGCUAAAUAUAAGUGAGAGACCGAUAGCAAACAAGUACCGUGAGGGAAAGAUGAAAAGAACUUUGAAAAUAGAGUUAACAGUACGUGAAAUUGCUGAAAGGGAAACGUUUGAAGUUAGUUUUGUAUUUGUUAGAUCAGCUUCGCAAGGAGUGUAUUCUGAUGAUAAGCAAGUCAACAUCAGUCUAUGAGUGUUGGAUAAGGGUUUUGAGAAUGUAGCAAUUUAAUUGUGUUAUAGCUUGAGACUUGGAUACAAUGCUUUGGAUUGAGGAACGUGUAGUAAGCCUUGAGCUGGAUUCGAAAGGAUCUCCUUACUAUGGAUGUUGGUGAAAUAACUUUAAGCGACCCGUCUUAAAACCCCCGCACCCA